CAAACUGGGAUUAGAUACCCCACUAUGCUUAGCCUUAAACCCAGAUGUAUUCUUACACACACAUCCGCCCGGGUACUACGAGCACAGCUUAAAACCCAAAGGACUUGGCGGUGUCUCAGACCCACCUAGAGGAGCCUGUUCUAUAACCGAUAACCCCCGUUAAACCUCACCACUUCUUGUUAAUACCGCCUAUAUACCGCCGUCGUCAGCUUACCCUGUGAAGGUCUAACAGUAAGCAAAAUGGGCCCGCCCAAAAACGUCAGGUCGAGGUGUAGCGUACGAAGUGGGAAGAAAUGGGCUACAUUUUCUAUAACUAGAAUAUUAAACGAACGGCACUAUGAAAAUUAUUGCCUGAAGGUGGAUUUAGUAGUAAAAAGCAAACAGAGUGUCCUUUUGAAUUAGGCUCUGAGACGCGCACACACCGCCCGUCAC
rnacentral:rRNA from 1 species